rnacentral:ncRNA from 1 species
CCGGGAACAGCCCAGCUGGAGAAUCGGGCGGCUGUGCCGUCCGAAUUGUAGUCUGGAGACGCGUCCUCAGCGACGGACCGGGCCCAAGUCCCCUGGAAAGGGGCGCCUGGGAGGGUGAGAGCCCCGUCCGGCCCGGACCCUGUCGCCCCACGAGAAGCGGUCAACGAGUCGGGUUGUUUGGGAAUGCAGCCCAAAUCGGGCGG